UACAGAGGGGGGCAAGCGUUGUUCGGAAUUACUGGGCGUAAAGGGCGCGUAGGCGGCCUUCUAAGUCGAACGUGAAAUCCCCGGGCUCAACCCGGGAACUGCGUCCGAUACUGGAAGGCUUGAAUCCGGGAGAGGGAUGUGGAAUUCCAGGUGUAGCGGUGAAAUGCGUAGAUAUCUGGAGGAACAUCGGUGGCGAAGGCGGCAUCCUGGGACCGGUAUUGACGCUGAGGAGCGAAAGCGUGGGGAGCGAACAGG
rnacentral:rRNA from 1 species